AUGAAGCAAUUUUUAAUACAUGGCCAACACAGGAAUUUGUUUGCUCAACUAUCUAUACCAGUUCCAGAAAAUGGUAGAAGCACUAUAACCAUACUCCUCGCUGAGACUCUCACCAGUGACCAUAAGAUGAACAAAACAAUGCCAAGGGCACUACAUGCCUACCAGUGCCCACAAAACCAGGACAUCAGGAGCAUUGCAGUGUUGGAGUCACUUGGGAGUUGGACAAGAAAAACAAGGUCAUCAUCUCCACAAGACUAUCUGCUAACCAAACCACUCUCUGACACCAUCUACUGGGCUUCAGCGCUUCAGGACUAUCCACUAAGGCAGUGAUGGACAACCUUUUGAGCUUGUUGUGUCAAAAUCCACCAAAAAACAGAGCAUAACUUGGGUGGUAUGUCACUUCAAGGAAAAAAAGCAUAAUUUUUCAAUAUUUAUAGUUUAAAUAACAAAAAUGUAUAAUUGUAAUAUAUAACUGUAUUUAAUAAACCAAAAA
rnacentral:lncRNA from 1 species